GUGUCUCCAUGUCCGUGUGGCUGUUCUCCUGAUGGGACAGGACAGUGUGUUCCCUGGCUGAUGGUGUGUUCCCACACCUCCUGCCCUUUGUCCCGGCUCAGCUCUGGCCUGGGUGCAACAGGGGAUGAAGCCAGCACCAGAGAGAAGGGUGGAGGCACCGAGAGCAGCAGGUGAAGACCAGCCAGCCACCAGCUGAACCAGGGAAGCCCAGGUUUGCAAAUCCAGAGCCACUUGUGCUGGUGCAGCUCUGCUGCUGCUUUUUAUUCUCUUUUGUUUCCCCAGGCUAAACUGUGUUUUUCAACUUCCAUCACUAUGAAUGAAGACAUUCUGUUACAUUCGUUAGGACCUGAAUGGUUGGGUUUAAGCUGCUGUUACUGGGUGUCCUCAGACUUCUCUGCAUACAGAGACGUGACAGUCCCAUCCUUCCACUGCACCACGACUUCUCCUGAUUUCUGAUCCUGGGGCACCGGCUCCUCCUUCUGUGGUUCACUGGGGCUGUGCUCCUGCACAGAGACCAGGGCUUGCUUGGUUUCCAGCUCCGCCUGCUGCGUCUUCUGCACUGCUGCGCUGUACAUGUGUCUCUUCCUUUUCCUGCAGGGAAGGGACAGAAAGGAAACAUGGAGUGAAGCAGCAAGCCCAGCCCACAUCUGGGCAGCAGGAAUGUCCGUUCGUCUCCGCUAACUCACCAGAAACACGCUGUUCCAGCAGAGAGGAAGCUACAUUUCUUCUUUAAGCCCUGCUGCCUGAAGAUGUCUUCUCCAAGCAGCCGUCAGUGCCUCACCACGGUGACAAGGUUGCCUUUCCUUCUACUCUUGGUACACUACGAGCUGUGAUUCAUUCUGCUCCUGAGUCAUGUCUGAAGGCCAGUCCAACAGGUGAGGUUCGCUCCAGCCCCUGGAAAAAACACACCUCUUUAGUGGGUCCAUUUACAU
rnacentral:lncRNA from 1 species